CUUCGAGACCAGCCUGGCCAACAUGGUGAAACCCCUUCUCUACUAAAAAUACAAAAAUUAGCCUGGCGUGGUGGCACACAACUAUAGUCCUAGCUACUCAGGAGGCUGAGGCAGGAGAAUCACUUGAACUGGGGAGGCGGAGGUAGCUGUGAGCCAAGACUGCACCACUGCACCCCAGCCUGGGCGACAGAGCAAGACUGUCUCAAAAAAAAAAAAAAAAAAAAAAAGAUUUCAUAUGAAAAGUCAUCUCAGAUGUUACUCGCUGGAAGUGGUGGGAAUCAUAAAAAACAACCAGGACCUUGCAUCCUAGUAUAGAAGCCACAACUGUGGAAGCUUAACAGCCAGGCAAAUGCCCACAAACCACCACCCUCUGCAUUGGAUGCAUAUGUCCCUGACCUCGCAAGUGAAAAAGAGAGGAAGACGGCGACACCUCCAGGCUUCAGACUCAUUAAUCCUGUGAAUCGUGACCCACUCUUAAAACCAAGGAAGAGGGAAGUUUGGACACAGACACACACAGACAAGAGAAUACCAUGUGACAAAGGCAGAGAUUGGAAUGAUACAGCUGCAAGCCAGGGAUGCCAAGGAUUGCAGGUGAAGAGUCAAGGAAGGAUUCUACCCAGAGUUGCACGGCCUUAUUGACACCUUGAUUUGGGCUUCUAGACUCCAGAAUCAUGACAGAAUAAAUUUAUCUGUGUGGAUGUGUGUGUGUGUGUGUGUGUGUGUGUGUGUGUGUGUGUUUUCCUAAAAAAGAGACAAGGUCUCAUUCUAUCCCCCAGGAUGGAGUGCAGUGUCAUGAUCAUAGCUCACUGCAGCCUCGAUCUCCUGGACUCAAAGCAUCUUCCCACCCCAGCCUCCCAGGAAUCUGGGACUACAGGUGUGAACCACUGUGCCGGCUCUGUUGAUUUAAGC
rnacentral:lncRNA from 1 species